UUGUUGAUUUAUGUGAUUAUUCUUGUGUUAGCAUUGAAAUAAGUGUAAGCGCUGCCAAUUUGUAUAAUUUAUUAAUAAAGUAAUUGGUGUAUAAAGUG